AGUCUUUGUAGUAAAUUUAAUACACUGGUCUUGUAAACCAGAAAAGGAGAACUACUAGCCUCCCUAAGACUUC
rnacentral:tRNA from 1 species